AAUUGUUUUUUUUUUUUUUUUGUCCAAACAUCUUCGGCGGGAGGUUGAAAUUAAAGCGGGAGACUGAAAUUUUUUCAGCUGGCCAAAGCGGAAGGAAGGCUGAAAUAUUUAGAGACUAAAUAGAGAGAGAUCCAAAGAGUGAGAGAAAGGAAGAGAGAGAGAGAGAGGUAUUUUGUUAAGGUUUCAAGUAAUUGAAAGGGUCUACGGUCAGAGGUUUCUUCAGAUUCUUUGACACCAAUGGCUCCUAAAGAUCUGAAUUCCUUUCACUUCUCAAAACAAUUUUCUCAAAUAUCUUGUAUUAUAUUUGGGAUUCUCCUCAAAGCUACUAUCGGGAUGGUACUCCUCGUGCAGAAACUGUAUGUUUAGAUUGAUGUUGUUGCUAAGGAAGCCUUGGAAGGACACUGCAUCUACGAUGGAGGGUUUUGCAAGCUUCACAUCUCAUAUUCACGCCAUACUGAUCUCAACAUUAAGGUAAUCAAACUAUAUCCUUUGAAAAGAAGUUUGUCUUAUGUGGACUAUCAUAGUCAUGUAUAUUAGUCACUAUAAAGUGUGGUAAUAUGCAAUAAGGAAAAGCCUCCACCGUUGUGUGGACAAUCUCUUUAUUGUUAAUAAGGAAAAGCCCCCACAUUGUGUAAGUUGUAUCUAUAUAGGCUAUAUGCAAUU